rnacentral:rRNA from 1 species
GACGAACAUUGGCGGCGCGCCUGACCCAUGCAAGUCGUGCGACGGACCUUUUGGGGUUACCCGAAAGGUUACGGAGCGGCGGACGGCCGAGUAACGCGUAAGCAACCUGCCCCUCGGGGGGGGAUAACCCUCUGAAAAGGGGGCUAAUACCCCAUACGCUUAGGGAGGCGCAUGCUUCCUUAAGGAAAGGGAGGAAACUCCCGCCGAGGGAGGGGCUUGCGUCCUAUCAGCUAGUUGGUGAGGUAACGGCUCACCAAGGCGAUGACGGGUAGCUGGCCUGAGAGGGUGGUCAGCCGGACUGGGACUGAGACACGGGCCAGGCUCCUACGGGAGGUUGCAGGGCGGAAUCUUGCGCAAUGCCCGAAAGGGUGACGCAGCGAAGCCGCGUGAGGGAUGAAGCCCUUCCGGGUGUAAACCUCUUUUGCAUGGGAAGAAAUCUGACGGUACCCUGCGAAUAAGUCCCGGCCAAUUACGUGCCAGCAGCGGCGGUUAAACGUGAGGGGCGAAUGUUGUCCGGAAUCACUGGGCGUAAAGGGUACGCAGGCGGUGGAGAAGGUCGGGUGUGGAAGCCUCAGGCUCAACCUGAGGGGGACGCCCGAUACUUCCCCACUUGAGGAAGGGAGAAGGGGGUUGAAUUCCCGGUGUAGCGGUGAAAUGCGCAGAUAUCGGGAGGUUCACCAGUGGCGAAGGCGGCCUCCUAUCCCUUUCCUGACGCUCAGGUACGAAAGCUAGGAGAGCGAACCGGAUUAGAUACCCGGGUAGUCCUAGCCGUAAACGAUG